GGCUCAUGUGAAAGUGUUCAGUGUAGAUAAGCAGCAUAUUGGCUGUCCAAAGAUUUCCUAACUCUCCUAGUUUCAUUUACUAGAAGCCACUAAUCACAACAGGCAUACACAUGGUGGUAGAAGGACACAGACCCUCUGAUUUCUAAGUUUCGUGCCAUGUUGUUUUUACAUAAGUUUUUUGGCAAAUCUGGGUACAGUUUCUUGGAGCAGGGCUAUCUAAUGUUCCAGCUCUGUCAUCUUUCACCGUGAAGUUCCUGCUGUGUGUACGGCUACAGCUGGGACUGCCUGAGUGAAUCACCUCACCUUUCUCAAAGGUCAGUGUGCAUGGAAGAGAAGUCAGAAGAUCAUGAUGUUUCACUGGUUUCCUCCAAUCUGUAAAUUCUGUACAUUAUGGUUACCUCUGCUGCGCAUCCACCUCAAGAAGUGUCCUUCAGUAGCUCUGUGAACCUGCAGGGGAGUAGAUGGGAUUGCAGUCUGAAGAGGACAGGAAAGCAGUCAGAACAGGAUGAAAGCAGGAUCAAGGAAAAAGAGGUAAACACAAUUGCAAUGAACAUUUAUACGCAUACCUUUGCCCUUGUCUAUGCUAGAUGGGGUUGGUGACUUCCCCCUUCUCCUGGUGACAGUAUCAGUUGCAGUUCCUCUACUGGGAAGUUACCUGUGUGGCUGCUGGUGGUGGUAAGACGGAGACUGUAUCCAAGGGAUGGACUGAUAGCUCCUGGCUGCAGUACCAGUAGGGCAUCACAGCUUUGUCACACAGAUCUGAGUCACAGCGUGCUGCAGGGGAGGACUGCUUUAGUCCUAGAACCAAGAGAACCACCAUCUGCACAAGACUCAAAAAUGCCAAAUCUGCUAAAUCACAGGGGCUACAAGGAACAGUUUAUAAAGAGGCUUUAUAUACACUGCAACCCUGAUUCAGUUCUGGGAGUGUCUUUCUAAAAGAAUGCUGUGUCUGUUGUGAAUGAACUGACUGGGCAUUUCAUGGGAUACUGCUCUAUUUUUGUACCUUAUAGCAGGGAAAAACAGUGUGCUCAGGUGUAAAGUGUUGUCUGCCCACAUCUCUUGUCUGUUUCCAAUCUUCUCCAAUAUUUUUCAUCUAUGUUUUUUCAUACCUGUCAUUUUUUGGUUUCCCUUUUCUUCCUCACCUUCCCUGGUGCAAAAGUCGAGUCCUGUGUCAGCCAUAGCAAAGAUUGCUUGCAUUGGAAUAUUCUAGUUCAGAGAAGAACACAGGUACAUAGUUUUUUGAGUGUACAUUAACUCUUGAUUCCAUCAGAAACAAGAGAGUGUGAUUUGCAGCAAGCUUUUAAUUGUGCUAGUUUUUCAUGUGAUAAUUCUUCUUCUAAAACUGUGAGCACUUAUUUCAAAGGACCUUUUGAUAAUGAAGAUUGUAUUGUGUCAGGGUAACCAGCUGUGGUGCAGAGUUUAGAAUAAGAAGGUGUUUAAUAGGGAAGAACUCUAAUGCACAGACUUCACAGGAAGGAGAUUUAGAACUUCAAUUUUUAUUAGCACCAAAUAUCAAGCAAGUUCCAUGACAACAAGCUGUACUUCCAAGCUGGUGAGUUAUUUUGUUUAGGGAAAGUGAGUUGGUAAUUACAUGACACAUCAAUUCAGUCUAUGUACUCUCUUGCGUUUGCAUUUGCAGGAGCUCCUUCAGUUGUGCACAGGUCUGAGCUCACUUCUUCCCCCAAAAGAAGUAUUUUCAACCAUGAGGUUUCAAGGCAUCUCUGUUCUCGAGAGACCAAGUAGCAUAACUUAGGUGCUCACCAGGAGAAUAGUCAAAGCACCUCUGGCUUCUAGGGGAAAAGAGGACUUGUGUGUCCAGUUCCUGCAGCUGAGCUCAUCGCGUGACGAAUUUUUCCAAAUAGCUUCACUUGUAGCUAUAUGCAGCCUCCCUAUUUGACAAAUGCCAACGUGACUUUGAAAUGAAGUUAAUACAGAUGCAAAGACAGUGGCCAUUGGUGGGGAGGGAGGAAGACUGUGUGGUCUUCUGAGGAUUAUAAAGAAGCUUUUAGUGACUUUGACUGUCAUAAGCAAUCUGUAUAGGUUCACAGAGUGAGGGGGGGGGUUCUAAGACAGCCUUAGAAGCAGCACCACAUUGAAGUGCUCUUUUCCUGGAGUACUUGCAAAUGCUUCAUCUUAAUUGAGUCAGUAAACAGCUUUAACUCCCUUGGGGGGAGGACUCAAUUCCUGGAGAAAUGAGAGAACUGAGAGUUGCCUUUUUUUUAUUUUUUUGGUAGAAGUUACCUUGGACAGUAAGCCUGCCACAGUAAAAAAUGUGGGGAUGCAAACACUGCUUCAGGCUCCUCAAUAGUGUGUGGAUGCACGGGAGCAUUUCAAAAGAACAGCAAUAGCAACAUUUCUGGCUGAGGCAUUUUUUUAGCUCAAUAUUCUGGGCGAUUGCUAUCCAAGCUGAUAUAAUACCAGAAUUGGUUAAUUGCAUCUGUGGAUGAUACAAUAACACUGAGUGAGUUUCCAAGGCAAAUUGGGUUACAAGAAGGAAAGGAAAAAAAAAAAAAAAAAAAAAGAAUCCCUGCAGCAUUAGUAUCUCUGAAGAAUACUAAACAACUAGUGACAGUUCUGCUUGAUAACAGCACUCAUUGUUCUGCUUGAUAACAGCGCUCAGCUAGCAAUUUGCAGGCUUGCACUGGGGAACUGAGGAUGUUGAGAGCAAUUCAGAGUAAGUCACUAGUUAAGUCCACAACGAUGCUGAUGUGAAUUAUUUGGUUACAGUACUCAGGUUUUCUUUGCUAUGUAGGGACUAUGGUCUCCUAACUCAAUGUUAAACCUGACCUUCAUAAAGCCAUGUUAGAUGGCUAUCCUUGGGCACUUACAGUUAUAAAAUACAAAUAACUGAAUCCCCUCUGUAUUUGGCAGACUGGAACCUUGAUUAACCAUCCCUGUGUGCAGAACAGCAGAUUUAAAUGGUACAGUAGAGCUGGAAGGGCUGGAGGAGCAAUGGGGUUAAGCUUUAUAGGCAAGGAAAAGUAUUUGUGAAGGAGGGAGAUGAGGACGUGCAUCUGAGUAGACUUUCACAAACCAGUUCCUGAAAUCCCAUUAUUUCUAUAGUAACUUUUGGUAUCUUCAGGAUGAAUGCUUUACACCUGAAAUUCCUGUCACUGUCACAGGAGUUUAAACACAUAAGCAAUGCACAUUAACAGUUGUUUUUUAUGCUGUACUUUGUUUUAUAUAGAUUUCAUUAUAUACAGUUAUAUAUUUUACCUUGUUGGCUGUGAUUUGAACUAUAUUCUGUAAUAGCAAUGCCAUGGGAAUGUAAGGAGAGGUUUAUAGUGAGUGAGGAUCCCAUCUUUUCAAGUUAUUCUUGUAACCACAAGUACAAGGAAGUCUCUGUUAAGCAACUCUGUAGUAACAAAAUGUUACUACAUUUGUAGGGGGGUAGGGGUAGGGAAGGGAAGCAAGGCCUAGGGUAAAAAUGACCUGCAUAGGCAACUGAUGGGAUUUCAGAAAAACAGGCUUUCAAAUUGCAGUUGCUAGGAGAGCUAAUCACGGAAUCACAGGAUUGUUAGAGUUGGAAGGGAUCUCUGGAGAUCAUCUAGUCCAACUCCCCUGCCAAAGCAGGAUUGCCCAGAGCACAUCACUCAGGACUGCAUCUGGGCAGGUCUUGAAAAUCUCCAGAGAAGGGGACUCCACAACCUCCCUGGGCAGCCUGUUCCAGGGCUCUGUCACCCUCACCGGAAAGAAGUUUUUUUCUCAUAUUUGAAUGGGACUUUAUGUUCCAGCUUGAGCCCGUUGCCCCUCGUCCUGUCACUGGGAACCACUGAAAAGUCUGGCUCCAUCCUCCUUCAAUCCACCCUUUAGAUACUUGUAAGGAUUAAUAAGGUCUCCCCUCAGCCUUCUCUUCUCCAGGCUAAAGAGUCCCAGCUCUCUCACCCUAUCCUCAUAUUUUGGUUUUUUUUUUUAACAUAUGGAAAGGUAAGAAGCACAGGGCUCUGUAUUUCAUAGUUUCAUAAGCUACCCUUAAAUCUCUCUGAAAAUUAUCGCCAUGCAGGUAGAAUGUACUUUGCAUUACACAGCUGGUAUAGUCAGCUAAGGCUGAUAUUCCCCGAUUGUGUUAAGCACAGCUGAGAAAAAUGGGAGGAUGUCAGCUGAAAUACUAGGCUAGUUGUUGAUUAAAACAGAAACACUUCUGCCUAUACCAACAUGUAGUUCAAAAAGCAAAGACAACGGAGCUAGGAUAGCUGCUGGGGGAGGGUAUGCUGGGCUUAGGUUUAUUUAAACAAUGGGAUCUUGAAAAUCAAUAGCAUACUUUAUGACCCAGGUUUAAGCUCUAGUGGAAAGACAAACUAGGCUGUAAAGCUAAUACAGCUGCUUUGUGCCUAUAUUUUAAAUGUAUACAUCAUGAUGAAAUUGUGAAAUUCACUGCUACUUACUAUGUAAGACUGAAGCGGGGAGUUUCCCAAAGUCAGAAAGGGAUUAAAAGUAGAUGUGGUUAAUGAGACCAUCUAGUGGUACAGUUAAUGGGAUGAAGAAAAUUCAAGUAAUAUAAACACACCUACUGAAUUGAGGGAGUUGUAAGAAACUUCCACCAAAGGUUUGGCUUAUCCUUUAUAAGGUUUUCUGCAACAACCCCUAAAAACUCUGGGUCUGCUAUUUCAGACCACGUCUAUGCUUACAAUAUGCCUGUGUUGUUCAGAAUGCACUUAGUUGAGAGGCAGUUUCACCUGUGAAGCUGUCUGACCUGGAGGGUACAAUAAAUUGUACUGAAAAAGGCA
rnacentral:lncRNA from 1 species